UACGUAGGUGGCGAGCGUUGUCCGGAUUUACUGGGCGUAAAGCGCGCGCAGGCGGUUCGUUAAGUCCGGUGUGAAAGCUCCCGGCUCAACUGGGAGAGGUCAUUGGAUACUGGCGGACUCGAGGGAUGCAGAGGAAGGUGGAAUUCCCGGUGUAGUGGUGAAAUGCGUAGAGAUCGGGAGGAACACCGUGGCGGAGGACGGCCCCGGGCCUGCGUC
rnacentral:rRNA from 1 species